GGUGGGGACUCAUGGGAGACUGCCGGGGUCAACUCGGAGGAAGGUGGGGAUGACGUCAAGUCAUCAUGCCCCUUAUGUCCAGGGCUUCACGCAUGCUACAAUGGCCGGUACAAAGGGCUGCGAUACCGCGAGGUGGAGCGAAUCCCAAAAAGCCGGUCUCAGUUCGGAUUGGGGUCUGCAACUCGACCUCAUGAAGUCGGAGUCGCUAGUAAUCGCAGAUCAGCAACGCUGCGGUGAAUACGUUCCCGGGCCUUGUACACACCGCCCGUCA
rnacentral:rRNA from 14 species